CCGGCUGCUGCGGACAGCAGCUGCCAGAGCAGGGUGCAGGCCGGGGAGCGGCGGGGCCAGCUGAGUCGGCCGGCGGCGGUAGCCGCGCUCCGCUGGGGCCGGUUGGAGGAGACUGAUUUGAUUUCUAAAAGAUUUCAACGAAAGAGGCUGACUGCGCCUGUUCAUCUCACAGGAUUUAUUAAGCUCCGACUUUGCGCUUGAAACCUCUGGAGCCACUGAGGAAACAGCAAUGAAAUCUGACCAGAAAAACACUUUGGACUUGGAAUUUCGCUUUAAGGACAGUGAUCCAGAAGAGCUCACUGUGCCCACUGUGCACUGUAAGGAUGGUGCUGCCGAGAGAAAUUAAGAUUGGAGAAGGAAAGGGUUGCAGUUCAAAGUAAAGGUAGUCCGAGGAAAUUUUCAGGACAACAGGCGAGCCAUAGUCCAGUGAAGGAAAAUGUUCACCACACUCCUACCUGGGGAAAGAGCUGUGGAGGCAGAGGGGCUGGGAGUGCAAAGGCCCUGAGGCAGAAUCACCUCAGUGUGGGUAGGGGGACUCCAAGAUGAGCAUGUGGCAGCUGAGAGCAGUGCAGAUGAAUUAAAACAUGCUUCGGAAAGUAAGCUUCUAAAACUACAAACUGAGAAUAAAAAAACUGAGAAAGGAGCUGGGCAGUAUGGAAAAUUCAGACAAGAUAAACACCAUGCAACAAAGCCUACAGACAGAGAUGGAGCUUGCUACAGUUACUCAACAUGUAUUCC
rnacentral:lncRNA from 1 species